rnacentral:rRNA from 1 species
UACGAAGGGGGCUAGCGUUGCUCGGAAUCACUGGGCGUAAAGCGCACGUAGGCGGACUCUUAAGUCGGUGGUGAAAUCCUGGAGCUCAACUCCAGAACUGCCUCCGAUACUGGGAGCCUUCGAGUCCGGGAGAGGUGAGUGGAACUGCGAGUGUAGAGGUGAAAUUCGUAGAUAUUCGCAAGAACACCAGUGGCGAAGGCGGCUCACUGGCCCGGUACUGACGCUGAGGUGCGAAAAGCGUGGGGGAGCAAACAGGG